rnacentral:rRNA from 1 species
UAUUUCAUCUAAAGCUAAAUAUUGGCCAGAGACCGAUAGCGCACAAGUAGAGUGAUCGAAAGAUGAAAAGCACUUUGGAAAGAGAGUUAAACAGUACGUGAAAUUGUUGAAAGGGAAGCGCUUGCAACCAGACUUGCAUGCCGUCGAUCAUCCUGGGUUCUCCCUGGUGCACUCGGCGGCGUUCAGGCCAGCAUCGGUUUCGGUGGUUGGAUAAAGGCCUUGGGAAUGUAGCUCCUCUCGGGGAGUGUUAUAGCCCUCGGUGCAAUGCAGCCUACCGGGACCGAGGACCGCGCUUCGGCUAGGAUGCUGGCGUAAUGGUUGUAAGCGACCCGUCUUGAAACACGGACCA